AGUGGCCACAAACUCCCUUCUUAGAUAAUUUCUUCCUUCUCUUUUGCCUUGAUAAACAAACCACAUCCCUGAUCAUCAACCCCUCUCAAACUUGCACGAACCCCACCGCCCCUGAUGGCGGUGGCCGGAGAAGGAAGUCAGGGUGGCUGCUGAUGGCUUCUUUCCAUGGCGAUGCCUCUGCUGCUGCUGCAGGUCAGGUGAGAGCCUGAGAGUAACCCCUCCGAACAGAUCGACUCAGAUUUUUCUCUUCGAAGUUCUCUUUAGAUCGGGAUAGAAUGAAGAACAAUGUAUCCUUUUAGCAAAUGUAUUGAGUUUCUUUUAUGCUCAUUUUGAGAACAAAUUUCUAAAGAGCUCCUAAUUCUUUGAUAUUCAUUUUUCUCAUUGCUCUUAAAAGAAUGAAAUUUCAGUAUUUGAAAAUGGAAUUUAUCUUCAAGCUGUGAUCAGAUCAUGUCCAAAAUACAAAGAAAUUAAUAUUCCCUAAAGUUAGAUAGUUGAUUUAUAAUAUAAAGUUUGUAAAAUUAAAAUCUCAAAAUGGAUAUGAAAAUGGAAUUAAAGGAAGAGGGGUAUUGAUUUGGGGUUGGGCUCCCCAGAUUUUGAUACUGUCGCACCCUUCCGUUGGAGGGUUCUUGACCCAUUGUGGGGCUAGUGGGAUGCUAGAAGGGGGUGUGUUGUGGGCUGCCAUUGUUGACUUGGCCUCUGUUUGUGGACCAGUUCAUAAACGAGCAGCUGGUUCUGAAAGUGCUUGGGAUUGGAGUGAGUGCAGGGGCGAAGUGGGCUUUGAAUGAAGGGGAAGAGGAGAAGUUUGGGGUUCAGGUGCGGUGGGAAGAGGUUAAGGCGACCAUAGAGAAGGUGAACGUGCUAGUUUUAUCAUCGUAGGCGUAGCUAUAAGCAUCAGGGCACUCAUUCUUGAAUAUCUUUGAAUAAUUCGUCGGCGGACAGGUCUGCGGCUGAUCGUGGCCUCCGCUGCAGCA